AACGAACGCUGGCGGCAUGCCUAACACAUGCAAGUCGAACGGGAUCUUGACUUCGGUCAGGUGAGAGUGGCGGACGGGUGAGUAACACGUGGGAACCUGCCUUUUGGUUCGGGAUAACCGCGGGAAACUGCGGCUAAUACCGGAUACUCCCGAGAGGGGAAAGAUUUAUCGCCAGAAGAGGGGCCCGCGUCCGAUUAGGUAGUUGGUGGGGUAAUGGCCUACCAAGCCGACGAUCGGUAGCUGGUCUGAGAGGAUGAUCAGCCACACUGGGACUGAGAUACGGCCCAGACUCCUACGGGAGGCAGCAGUGGGGAAUAUUGGACAAUGGGGGGCAACCCUGAUCCAGCAAUGCCGCGUGAGUGAUGAAGGCCUUAGGGUUGUAAAGCUCUUUUGCCAGGGAAGAUGAUGACUGUACCUGGAGAAUAAGCCCCCGGCUAACUUCGUGCCAGCAGCCGCGGUAAU
rnacentral:rRNA from 1 species